GGCUAACGCUGGCGGCGCGCCUAACACAUGCAAGUCGAACGAGGCCCUUUUAGUUUACUAUGAGGUGUCCUAGUGGCAGACGGGUGAGUAACGCGUGAGUAAUGUGCCUUUUUUCUGGGGAUACCGUUUGGAAACGAACGUUAAUACCGAAUGUGGUCAUCGUGGGGCAUCCCGUGGUGAUUAAACUGUUAGGGAGAGAAGAGCAACUCGCGUACUAUCAGCUAGAUGGUGGGGUAACGGCCUACCAUGGCGACGACGGUUAACUGGUCUGAGAGGAUGAUCAGUCACACUGGAACUGAGACACGGUCCAGACUCCUACGGGAGGCAGCAGUGAGGAAUCUUGCACAAUGGGCGAAAGCCUGAUGCAGCGACGCCGCGUGAGGGACGACGGCCUUCGGGUUGUAAACCUCUGUCAGUAGGGAAGAAGUAUGACGGUACCUACUGAGGAAGC
rnacentral:rRNA from 1 species